rnacentral:lncRNA from 1 species
CAUGAGUAAAAGUUACCUACAAUAUAAAUAACCAUAAGAAUCGCAUAGCUGCACUAACAAUUUGCACAUCCUUCUAAAAACAAUUAUAGCACAGUAUUAAAUCUUUUUUAAGAGCAAUAUUUAUACAGAGUUAAUUGCUACAGUACAAAUAUCCGGCCCACCAUAGCUGAAAACAGAACAUAAACCGAAGGCAAACCUGCCAAAUAACUUCACCUACCCGCAGCUGGGUACAACCGCAGGGUACAACUAACAAG